GCUCGGAACCGAGGGGAAGGAGAGCUCCAACCCGAGGAGAAGCGGAGGCAGCUGGUGGGAGAUGGGCUGGGGAGGAGGCGAGAGCCGCCCGGGGAGCGAAUUCCUGGGAGCUCAGAUUGCUGCCUUUGCCUGUGAGGAGUUGGAGUUGGUGCGUGUCACUUUCAUCUGGACGACUGGGCUCCUCCUAGAGGAAAGCCCUGGCUGGUGCAGGACACUUCCUUCCUCUAGGGAGGCCCACCCCUGCUCCCGAAAAGAAAACAGGGUCCCAAAGAUAGCUAUAGUAAAUAAACCAAUGAGCGCCCGAGCGGGAACACGCCGAAGGCAGCUCUCUGCACCGCCUGGAGAGCGGAGUUCGGGAAAGGCAUUUACCAGGCCCGACCUCCAAACGCCUUCUACUUAGCCACAGGGAGCCAGCUUGAACAGCAUCUCCACCCCUGGGUCCUGGGACCCGUGAUUGUCUGUUAUCACAGCCACAAAGGCAGGACUGAACCAUGGGAGCAGAAGGGCACGCAACAACUGAUUCACAGAUGCCCUGAAGUCUAUUCAUGGAUCCCUUAGUCAUCUGUGAAUCUCAGGUUAGAAACUAUUGAUAGAUAAUUCUCUCUCUUCCUUCUCCUCCUCCUCAGUGAGUAAACAAGCAAUUUGAAAUAGUUUAUACAUGGGCAGUUUUGCAAGACGUAUUUCCAUAUUGGUCAUGUUGUGAAAGAAAAUAUGGAUCAAAAACAACUUAAAAAAUGAAGUAAAAAAAGAGUAUGCUUCGAUCUGAAUUCAGACUCCAUUCGUUCUCUCACUGGGAAGUUCCGUUUGUAAGACUAGAUUGUUGUCUCCAUGAUAUGAAUGACAAGAGCGUGUAUCUUGGAGACCUACCUCUGCAAUCUGUUGAAGUAUUUCAUUUGUAUUUGAUUGGACGUAAUUUAGCACCAUAGAUUGAAAUCAACUCCAAAUCAACCAAUUUUAAGAUAUGUGCACACACGGAGAAGAGUUCUUUCAGCUGCCCUCCAGACAAGAUGCUAUAUUUAAUGUGAGGGCAAAAGAACAUACCUGAAACCACAUGUGGGAAAGAAGAAGAAAGAGGAGAGAAAAUUCAGAUGAAGAAAUCUCUACAAAACAUUACUGGCAUAUAAUUAUCAAACCAGUUAGUUUUUAAUAGUAUUUAUAAUGCACGGUUUGGAAGAACAUGGGAACUAAGGAAACAAUGUAUUACCUUGGUUCUGCUGUUCUUUUGUUCUUUGCUUUCCCUGAUAUUUUUAUCUUUGUGGCUGACCCUCAGAAAGAAGCAAUCAGGAGCUUAUGUGGUUGUUCACAUUUUCCAGGUCUUCCUGGGUAGAAGAACCGUGGUAGGAUAUUAUGCUGAUCAUGAGACUAGGAAGAGAAUAUACAUGAAAUGGAUUCUAAACCAUGGCAAAGGCAGGUGUAGAUUUAGUCUAGAGUUAGGUCUGAUCCUCAGGGUUCUUGAACUCAGCCCUCUGUCACUCUAGAUGAGGUGCCUGGAGAUUCACACCAAAAAUGUGAUGUGGAGAUUUUGAAAGGGGAGGAAGGCUAAUGCAUCAUCUUUUCUCCCCCCCAAGUCCCCACUUUUUCCUCAAAUUACAAUGGAUUGUAUGCUUGUGAAUUCCCCUAUCCCUCAGCUUUCAUGUUGGGAACACCACUCAGUUUGUUCCUAAUGAGUAACAAAGAAGGAAGUGCUUCUUUAUCCAGUAUAAGGAAACAAAGUUCUUUCAAUCCACUCAGAUAGACUAACAAGUAACUAUUCUCAUAUAUAUAUAUUCAUAUGUAUAUAUAUAUAUAUAUACAUACAUAAAUAUAAUAUGAAUGUUGUGGCAGAAGAAUUUGAGCCAUCUUUAUUUCUGACUAAUAUUUUCUUUUCUAAAAUUAUGAUUUAAUGGAAUAAGGAGCUCCUAGUGGGAAAAUUCCCUAUGCCAGUGUUUCCCCAAUUUUUUUUUGUCUCAAGUUUCCUUGUGAUUGAAAACUGAGGAAACAAAGAGCUUUUGUUUAUAUGAUUUAUCUCUAUUUCUGUGAGAUUUAAAAUGGUUGAGGUCUUAAACUGUAGUGAUUAAAAUAGUGGUAGAUAUAAAUUGUGAUAGAUAUAAGAGAGGGUGAGUAAAUUUGACUGCAGAAAUAUGUUUCACUACAGUGUUUUGGGUUUAAAAUCAAAUAUAAGGUGGUCGCCGGGAAUAUUCCCAAUUAUUCAAAUACCCAAGUCAAUUGGGUUUUAUAGAGAUCUUAAUUAACAAUACAAUGAGUAAUCAAAGAAAGAGAGAGUAAGAAAGGAAUAAGUAUGAAGGGCCUCAAAGCCAAUAUGGCCUAGACCUGAGUCUUAAAAGAGAAAUCAGUCAGUUUUUUAUAACUCACCAUGAGAUCUGUCUAAGUAAGGAUUUCUAAUGACACCAGGCCAGCAGCAUCUCAGCUGCUUUCACCAGCUCCCUUCUCCAUCUGAAUGUUUCAGAAUCAGUCUCCUCAGAAUGAGUCUCUCCAAUCUGAAUGUUUCAGAAUCACUUUCUAGCUCUUCCCUGAGCUCUUAUUUUUAAGGGCAAAAUCUCCUAUGUCACCUCCCCUAAGUCCUUACAUCUACCAAUCACUGUAGAUGUUUCUAAAGGACCGCCCAUUUUGAAUUCACAGCUGAGUAGUUUUAAUCUCUUUAGUAAGUCAGAAAAAAAUGCUGCUGUGUCGACAAAUUUCAUUAAGAAAAAAACCUCUGAAUAAGUUAUCACCCUUUUAGGUUUAAGUAGUUUACAAGUUGCCCCACCUUUAUAGGUACUUAGUAUCCCAUUGUAUCAAUUCUAAAACAGUCAUGACUCAAAGGACUUCCUGUCCCUUCCAUAAGCAUGGAUCAAAGUACUUUUCAUUGUUCUCAAGGAGCUCUCUGUCCUAAAGUAGUCCUAAGUAGGGUGGAGUAGGGAUAUUCCCAAGGCAGGGAGCCCCCACACUCAAGUAGGGUUCUCACCAUCUGCUAGGGAAUUUUUUUAAGUCGAAGAUUCCCCAAUGGGGGAAACCCCUAACAUUCAUAAGUCUGAGAAAUUUUGAGGUUUACAUUUCUCUUUAUCAUAUUAAACAUCCAAAUAUCAGUAUUUAUUAAGGAAAUAGUUUUGAAUUUGCAGAUCACCUGAAAAAGUCUUUGGAGUUCCAGAGACCACACUCUGCCCUACAUCAAUGCAGAUUGACAAGAUAUUUGCUUUACAAUCUUAGAGAAUUAUCUGUGGCACUGAAUCUUGGCAUGACUUGUCUGUGAUCACAGAGUUAAUAUGUCAAAAGCAGGACUUGAAUGUAUUUUUCCCCCACUCCAAGGCUGGCUCUCUAUUGACUACAUCACUCUAUCACUCAAUAAUAAUACCCUUUCCUUUUUUUGCUUAAUAGGAAAGCAUUUCAGACCUCUUAAGAAUCUGUAAAGAAAAUGAGUGAAAAGGCAAGAAGAGAAAUAACAUUUCUUCAAGUGCUUUUCUCUUUAAAAAGCACUCAUACAUAAUUGAUCCUUUGUAGAACUCAUGGCAAGUCAUCUCAGUUGAUUUAUUCAGCAAUGAACACCUGGAAUCCUCUCCCAUAGCCUGCAAACUGGAAGGUAGAUUGCAAAGGGAUUCCUCUCAUGAAAAGUCUUGUUUAUGUUUUUUCUUGAAGAAGCAAUGAGGUAUAGCAAAAAUAGCAUUGGUCUUGGGGUCAAGACCUGGGUGCAAUUCGCAGCUCUACCAUUCUUUGUUUAACUGGCUAACUAGCUAGAUGAAUAAUAGAUAGAAAUAUGAAGAUAGAUAGAUAAAUGGAAAUAGGUGUACAGAGUGACAGAAUAUAGAUGGAUAAUAGAUACAUAAAUGGAUGAGUAGAAAGGUAGAUAGAUAGGUAGCUAGCCAGACUGAAAGAUAGACAUAGAUAAAUGCAAAGAUAGAAAGAUAGACAGACAACUUAUUAAGCACUUAAAUGCCAAGCCCUGGUUAAACAAGUACAAAAAAGCUAGACUGUCUCUUCCUUAAAGAAACCUGCAUUCCAAUUGGAAACACAGCAAUAUAAAGUAGAGCUAGAAAGAGAGAUCACCUAUUUUCAGAAAACAGGAGAGUGAUGGUUGGAGUGUCAACAACCUGAUGAAGAGAUUAGUGUAGGAAGUGGCAUGGAAGCCUGGUUUUAGGCAUGAUGUGACAAAAGUUCAUAUAUAAGAGCCUUGAUGAUAAGAUUUAUACUACCUAUCUUGCAGGGUAUAUUGUGAUGGCCAAAUGAGGUAAUAUUUUCAAAAUAUUAGAAAAACAUGAGCUACUAUUAUUAUUAUAACCCAUUUGCCUUCUAACUUCUCAUAUUGUUGGUUUAAAACAAGAAGUAUUUUCUUUUUCUUUUUUUUUUGUAUGGGAGAGUUUAAGGGGAAUGAGGUCUAGCUGUAGAAACACUGAUAGGAAAAAAAAGAAUGUCAAUGAAUGAUUAAAAAUAAACAAAAGAGCAAAGGGAAAUUCAGAAGGGGACAAAGAGAAGCAGACCAAUGUUAGAACUUCACUGAUAAAUUUUGAAUUAUAUAAAGAAAAGCUGUAUCCAAUGGAAAAGAUAAACUGUACUGAAAGAAAUUCAGUAUUUUAUACACAAUCCUUUCUUCUAUAUAUAUUAAAAUGCUUCUAUUUAUUGACAUGUAUUUCAUAAUAAAAAUUAUUUAAAAAUAUAUAUUGUCCUUGUGAGAUCCCAUAUAUGUUUCCUCAUUUCUUUUUGCUAACUUUUGAGUAAAGGGAUAGAAAAUGGUAGUAAAGAGGGAAGGGACCAUGUCUGUGUGCAGGUACAUGUAUGGUGUAUGUAUGUACAAUACAGUUGGCAUGUAAGAAGUCAAAGAGAUAGGGGAACCAGUGGAAAGAUAGACAAGAUUAGGGAUUUGUCAGGCAGUCAAUAAAUGUGUAUCAAGCACCUACCAUACUCUAGGAAUUGUGCUAAGCAUUGGGAAGUUUAGAAAUUUAGACCUGGAUAAGAA